GCCUGAUUAGCAUAGUGGCUAAUGCGUCGCACUUGUAUUCGGGGACUCUCAACUCAAAAGGUUGCCCCCAAACUCGACAUGCGAAGAUCACAGGUUCAAUUCCUGUAUCAGGCA